AAAAUAUUUGGUCUCGUGCCAAAUUUACGCCUGUGUGCACCAUUGUCUGUAUUUGGUAGCUCGAGCGCGCUCCGGAAGCUCAACACUUCCAUUAGGGGCGCCUACCCUUGCGGGUCACAUCCCGCUUGGGUUGGGCUACCGCCUUUUUUUUUGAAAAACCUUUUUUGUUUUGUCUUUUUGUCUGAACGAAGGAGUUGAUCUUAAUUGAUUAAUGAUUUGAAAA
rnacentral:misc_RNA from 1 species